AUGCAUUUCGCUGAAACCAUCACUCCACACCACUGAAGUCUCAGCCAACAUCAUGGCAGCAUUAGGACUCCUAUGGCUUGUGAGCUCCACAGCAUCCAUCCUUGUCAAAUGUGAAGAUGCAAAAUCUGAAAACAAAAAGAUCUACCCAGCAAAGAUCUUUGGACCAUCUAAUGUGAYURAAGGGGUAA